GACGAACCGUGCGAACGUUAUUCGGAAUCACUGGGCUUAAAGCGCGUGUAGGCGGGACGGCACGUCGGUCGCUGAAAUCCCCCGGCUCAACCGGGGAACGGGCGCCGAUACGACCGUCCUGGAGGGACGUAGGGGGACCUGGAACUUCCGGUGGAGCGGUGAAAUGCGUUGAGAUCGGAAGGAACGCCCGUGGCGAAAGCGAGUCCUGGACGUUUUCUGACGCUGAGACGCGAAAGCCAGGGGAGCGAACGGG
rnacentral:rRNA from 1 species